rnacentral:rRNA from 1 species
UCCUACGGGWGGCAGCAGUGGGGAAUAUUGCACAAUGGGCGCAAGCCUGAUGCAGCCAUGCCGCGUGUAUGAAGAAGGCCUUMGGGUUGUAAAGUACUUUCAGCGGGGAGGAAGGGAGUGAGGUUAAUAMCCUYAUUCAUUGACGUUACCCGCAGAAGAAGCACCGGCUAACUCCGUGCCAGCAGCCGCGGUAAUACGGAGGGUGCAAGCGUUAAUCGGAAUUACUGGGCGUAAAGCGCACGCAGGCGGUCWGWCAAGUCRGAUGUGAAAUCCCCGGGCUCAACCUGGGAACUGCAUUCGAAACUGGCAGGCUWGAGUCUYGUAGAGGGGGGUAGAAUUCCARGUGUAGCGGUGAAAUGMGUAGAGAUYUGGAGGAAUMCCGGUGGCGAAGGCGGCCCC